rnacentral:rRNA from 1 species
AUUGAACGCUGGCGGCAGGCCUAACACAUGCAAGUCGAGCGGAUGAAGGGAGCUUGCUCCUGGAUUCAGCGGCGGACGGGCGAGUAAUGCCUAGGAAUCUGCCUGGUAGUGGGGGAUAACGUCCGGACACGGGCGCUAAUACUGCAUACGUCCUGAGGGAGAAAGAGGGGGAUCUUCGGGCCUCUCGCUAUCAGAUGAGCCUAGGUCGGAUUAGCUAGUUGGUGGGGUAAAGGCUAGCCAAGGCGACGAUCCGUAACUGGCCGGAGAGGAUGGUUAGACACACUGGAAGUGAGACCCGGACCAGACUCCUACGGGAGGGAGCAGUGGCGAAUAUUCGCCAAUGGGCGAAAGUCUGAUCCAGCCAAGCCGCGUGUGUGAAGAAGGCCUUCGGAUUGUAAAGAACUUCAAGUAGGGAGGAAGCGCAGUAAGUUAAUACCUUGCUGUUUUGACGUUACCAACAGAAGAAGCACCGGCUAACUUCGUG